rnacentral:misc_RNA from 1 species
AACGCACAUUGCGCCCUCUGGUAUUCCGGAGGGCAUGCCUGUUCGAGCGUCAUUACAACCCUCAAGCUCUGCUUGGCCUUGGGCGUCACCGGCAACGGUGGGCCUCAAACCCAGUGGCGGUGCCGUCUGGCUCUAAGCGUAGUACUUCUUCUCGCUAUAGGUGCCCGGCGGACGCUGGCCAGCAACCCCCAACUUCUUUAAGGUUGACCUCGGAUCAGGUAGGGAUACCCGCUGAACUUAA